rnacentral:rRNA from 1 species
CCUACGGGUGGCAGCAGUGAGGAAUAUUGGUCAAUGGGCGGGAGCCUGAACCAGCCAAGUAGCGUGAAGGACGACUGCGCUACGGAUUGUAAACUUCUUUUGUAAAGGAAUAAAAUGAGGCACGUGUGCCUUUUUGUGGGUACUUUAUGAAUAAGGAUCGGCUAACUCCGUGCCAGCAGCCGCGGUAAUACGGAGGAUCCGAGCGUUAUCCGGAUUUAUUGGGGUUAAAGGGAGCGUAGAUGGGUUGUUAAGUCAGUUGUGAAAGUUUGUGGCUCAACCGUAAAAUUGCAAUUGAUACUGGCAGUCUUGAGUACAGUUGAGGUAGGCGGAAUUCGUGGUGUAGCGGUGAAAUGCUUAGAUAUCACGAAGAACUCCGAUUGCGAAGGCAGCUUACUAAGCUGCCACUGACAUUGAUGCUCGAAAGUGUGGGGAUCAAACAGGAUUAGAUACCCUUGUAGUC